CCCAUUUGAGUUGGAAAUUUCCAAAAAGUUUUCCAUAGUGAAGAAGAGUAGGGUAAAGUUAGAGUGAAUCAUUUUCAUAUAAAGUGAAGAAAUACUCAUCACCAUUUCUCUCAUCCCACCUCACUCUCUCAAUUGAUUUUGGGUAGAAUGAUGUCUAAACUCCUCCUUUGUUUUCUUUUCUUUCUCUCGUCCUCUCAGCUUCUUUCCUCCUCUUUCUCUUUCUCUAAUUCCACCAAACUAUGCCCGCAUCAGCAGGCUCUUGCUCUGCUCCACCUUAAGCAAUCCUUUUCUAUUGAUAAUUCCAGUUCUUGGGAUUGUGAUUCCAAUGGCAUCACUUCUUAUCCUAAAACAGAGUCUUGGAAGAAGGGUAGUGAUUGUUGCUCAUGGGAUGGGGUCACAUGUGAUUGGGUGACAGGCCAUAUAAUUGGGCUGGACCUCAGUUGCAGCUGGCUCUUUGGCAUCAUCCAUUCCAAUAGUACCCUUUUCCUUCUUCCUCACCUGCGAAGGCUCAACCUUGCUUUCAAUGACUUCAAUUACUCCUCUGUUUCAAUUGGGUUUGGUCGGUUCUCAAGCUUGAUGCAUCUCAAUCUCUCCUACUCUCUCUUUUCUGGAAAAAUUGCACCUGAAAUCUUCCAUCUCUCCAACUUGGUUUCACUUGAUCUGUCCGGGAAUUAUAAAGCAGAAUUUGCCCCGCAUGGCUUCAAUUCUCUGGUUCAAAAUUUAACCAAAUUGCAGAAGCUUCACCUUGGAUCUCUCCUAUUGCAAAUUCUCAGGGUCCAUCCCUACUUCAAUUGGCAAUCUAAAGUCUUUAUAGACUUUGGAUCUCUCCAAUUGCGAAUUCUCAGGGUCCAUCCCUACUUCAAUUGGCAAUCUAAAGUCUUUAAAGACUUUGGAUCUCUCCAAUUGCGAAUUCUCAGGGUCCAUCCCUACUUCAAUUUGCAAUCUAACAAACCUUCAGGACUUAAGAUUCUAUGAUAACUUGUUCACCGGGACAAUACCAUCCAGGUUAUACACUCUGGCAUCAUUGGUGAGCUUAGAUCUCAGUCUUAACAAACUCACUGGUCAUAUUGGUGAAUUCCGAUUUGAUUCAUUGGAGUAUAUUGAUUUGAGCAUGAAUGAGUUACAUGGGUCAAUUCCAAGUUCAAUAUUUAAGCUUGUAAACCAUAGAUAUCUUGUUCUUUCUUCAAAUAACUUCAGUGGCGUUUUGGAGACAAGCAACUUUGGAAAACUUAGAAACCUUACUUCGCUUGAUCUCUCAAACAACAUGCUCUCAUUGAUCACCUCUGCCAAUUCCAACUCCAUUUUACCAAGCAUUGUGAACCUAGACCUUUCAAACAAUAACAUUAGUGGAGUAUGGUCAUGGAAUAUGGGAAAGGAUACACUGCGGUACUUGAAUCUCUCUUAUAACAUCAUAAGUGGGUUUGAGACGCUUCCAUGGAAAAAUAUAGGAAUUCUAGAUCUUCAUUCCAACUUGUUGCAAGGACCACUUCCAACUCCUCCAAAUACUGCAUUUUUCUUUUCAGUAUCCCAUAACAAAUUGAGUGGAGAAAUCUCAUCAUUGAUUUGCAAAGCGAGUUCCAUGGGAAUUCUUGAUUUGUCUAAUAACAACUUGAGUGACAUGCUUCCUCAUUGUUUGGGGAAUUUUAGCAAAUAUCUCUCUGUUUUGAAUUUGCGAAGGAAUCAAUUUCAUGGCAUCAUUCCUCAAACAUUUUUAAAGGGCAAUGCUAUCAGGAAUCUUGACUUCAACGAUAAUAAAUUGGAAGGCCCAGUACCUCGAUCUUUGAUCAUUUGUCGAAAACUUAAAGUUCUAGACCUUGGGAAUAAUGUGAUAAAUGAUACAUUUCCCCAUUGGUUGGGAACUCUUCCAAAGUUGCAAGUUCUUGUUUUGCGUUCUAAUAGUUUUCAUGGUCAUAUAGGGCGUUCCAAAAUCAAAUCCCCAUUCAUGAGCCUAAGAAUCAUUGAUCUUGCUCACAAUGAUUUCGAGGGUGACUUGCCUGAAAUGUAUUUGAGAAGUUUGAAAGCAACAAUGAAUGUAGAUGAAUGCAACAUGACAAGAAAAUACAUGGGGGACAGUUAUUAUCAAGAUUCCGUAAUGGUGACAAUCAAGGGGUUAGAGAUUGAAUUUGUGAAAAUCUUGGAUACUUUCACAACAAUUGAUUUAUCAAGCAAUACAUUCCAAGGAGAGAUUCCAAAGUCCAUUGGAAAUCUUAAUUCACUCCGAGGACUCAAUUUGUCUCAUAACAACCUUGUAGGACAUAUCCCACCAUCUUUCAAAAAUUUGAAGUUGCUUGAAUCAUUGGACCUUUCUUCAAACAAGCUCAUUGGGAGAAUUCCUCAAGAAUUAACAAGUUUGACAUUUCUUGAAGUUUUGAAUCUUUCCCAAAACAAUCUCACCGGAUUUAUACCUCGAGGCAAUCAAUUUGAGACAUUUGGAAAUGAUUCAUACAACGAGAACUUAGGGUUAUGUGGAUUUCCAUUAUCAAAGAAAUGCACAACUGAUGAAACACUAAAGCCUUCAAAAGAGAUGGAUGCAGAGUUUGAAAGUGGGUUUGAUUGGAAAAUCACAUUGAUGGGAUAUGGAUGUGGAUUGAUAAUUGGGUUGUCUCUUGGGUGUCUCAUUUUCUUAACUGGGAAACCUAAAUGGUUGACAACGAUGGUUGAAGAGAACAUUCACAAGAAGAUCACAAGGUCUAAAAGAAGUACUUGUAGAAGAGGAGCAAGAAGAAAGUAGCAUAUUCCAACUGUAUUGUAUUUUGUGCUACAUAUUAUAAAUGGAUUUUACAUUUGUUAACAAAUAAUCUACUUGUUAUUAUAAAAGUGUAAUAUUGUUUGUAAAAUUAAAAUAAUGUUUUUUUCUUUUUCCUUUUUUUUUCUUUUUUGUGACAAUGCAACAGUCAUUAGGUUCAAUAUUUUUCCGGCCAACAUGAUAACUUAAAAUUCAUCAAAGAGCAAUUUGUAUAUCUUAGAGAUUAAUCAAACACUAAAGAAUAUUAAAGACUUAGUAGAAAUUUGGACAUACUUCUAAUUUUUAUUAUUUUUUAAAAACAAAACUUUGAUACAAGUAGAGACUUACACUAUGUUUUCAAAACUACUUUUUAAUUUAUUUUUAUUUUUUAAAUUUAAGAACACAAAGUUUUUAAAAUUUUAAAAAAUCUUUUAGAAAAUAUAAGAUAAAUCUCCUCUCUUGCUAAAAAAAAUGACUGCAUUUUAUAGAAGAGUUUAAAAACAAAAAACAAAAUACAAAAAUUGUUUCCAAACACCACUAUUUUUUUUUUCCCGAUAAUUCAUACUUUAUUAUUAUAUAGGGAAAGAACAAUAAUUUGUUUAUAUUAAAUAUAUAUGGGUAUAUUAUAACAACUAGUAUUUUAUUUGAGGAGCCACGACCGGGCCUAGUUCAAACCACGACAAGGCAUAACCAUUGCAACCAAAGCUCAAUUGGUAUUUCAUUGGAAAUCAUUUUUUAAAUAUAUGUUAUUGAAAAAUGUCAACUAUCACAUUAUGGAAAAGAAAAAUUUACGAAAGGACCACUUGAUAUCUUUUCAUUUGAAAGAAUAUCAUUGUUAGUGAUAUAUGUUAAAUAUUUAAAUCAAUUCUAUAAUUGCUAUCGAUAUUUGAAGAAGAAAAAACAUAAAUAAAUUAAAUAAUUUAACAUUUUUCAAUCAAUCUGACUUUAAUAAAUAAGGUUGAAGAUAGUGCACAAAAUCAAUAAAGAAAAAGCAUAUAUUUUUUUUAAUUAUUUAUUUAAACAAACUAAUAUUCAUUCAUUUUAUAUUUAUCUCUUACCAUUUUAAAAUAUUAAUAUUUAUUUUAAAAAUAUUAGUAUGCAUUAUAAUUUUUUAAAACAGUAUUAUUGAUUUUAAUAAAAAAAAUAUAAAUUCUAAUAUUCAUUUUUAAAAGUUGGUGAUUUCGGAAAUUUGUUUCUAAUAUUCAUGAAUUUAUACUCGUAUCUUUUUCUCAAAAUAAAUAAAUAAAUGUUAUUAAUUUGUUAUGAAUAGUGUGAUUUUUAAAAUAUAAUACUUGAUUAUUUAAUAAAAAUGUUGUUACUUAUCAUAACUUUUUAAAAAUGUAUUAUUUAUUAUUAAUUCGAAGAAAUAAAAUUUUAAUAUUUAUUUUGAUAGAAAAAAACCCAAUGAUAUUUUGUGGCCUUAUAAUAAUAAAGUUUAUUUUUAUUUUCAUUUUCUAUUUAAAUAAUUAUUUAAAAAAUCUGAAACUAAAAUCAUUGCCACGUAGGUUGCAACAUAAAAUGCAUGAUAGAUCAUAGAUGUAAUAACUUGGCAGUAAUAGGAAGCAUGUAUUGGAAUAUUAUACUCAUUUAAAAAUAUUAUUUUCACUCAUAAAACAAGUAAACCUAUCGAAAAAGUCAAGUGAUCACCAUAUCUCUUUUAUUUAUUAUUAAACUCAGCUUCAAUUGUAAAUUUUAAAAAAAGGCCAAAUGUAUACAAUCUUGAGUGGGGUCCACGCUACUGCCACAUGCUUUAUUUUCAUUUUUUUUAAAAAUUUAUUUACUUCCACUAUUUCUUUAAUAAAUAAAUAAAUAAAUAUUAAUAUUUCUUAUUUGUGUGUUCGUUGUGAUUAAAUCUACAGGUAGUUCGCAUUUUCUAAUUUUGACUAGAUUUAUAAGACGAAAACAAACGCAUUUGGAUGGAGCAAGUUUGAGGAGAUAGGUGGAUUUGGGCCUUCUCAAAUUUAGAUUUGGGCCUAGAACAUGAUUCAAAGCUCAGUCCAGCCCAAACGGCACACGUCUUAUUGGGUCUCAAUUUGGGCCUAUUGAGUUGACCUGGGCCAACCCGAUUCAAUUCAAUGGCAGGCAAUUGGUACCAUCAUCACUAGUAUACAAUUGCUGGUCUAAUUUUAGUAUUCUCUCUGUUUUUGAGUUUUCUCAAUCCCAAUUCACUAGCCAAAUUUUCAUACUUGUAAUGGGCAUUAAACAAGGUUUAAUUUAUAAUUAAAUAUAAUAAAUAGAAGAGAAAAAAAUGUUAAAAAAUUAUUUUCUAUGUUUGUUUAUUAUAAAAAAAAAUAUAUAAGAGAAAAUAAAUAUAAUUAAAAUUAAUUAUAGAUUUAUUUAUUUUUAAAUCAUUUCAUCUUUAUAUAGAAGAAAAAAAAAAGUGAAAUGAGUUUAAAGAAGAAUAUAAAAAUAAUUUAUCAUAUUUAAAUCUAUUUUUAAAAUUUUCUAGCAUUUUUUUUUUAUCUCUUUUCAUUUUCUUACCUUGAUAUUUUCUCAAGAUAUUUCCUUUAUCAUUUUUCAUUAUUGACGCCAAGUCAAUGGUUGAUGCUUCCACACGGUUUUGUGGAAAGAUGAUCAAGAAGAAAACAUGGCAAAUCUGAAAAAGAUACUCCACUUCUUUCAAAUACAAUUUUGUUUUUUAUUCUUUUUUUAUUUAUCAUACUUUCUUUACUAAUAUAUCACUUUUCAAAUAAAAUAAUUAAUUUACACUAAUUACUUUUUAACUAUAUUCUUUAAUCACCAAAGUAGCAAGAAUCUAUAUAAUUGUUUCCAGAUUUAGAACUCGUUUAAUAAUAAUUUUAGAAAACACUUUCAAUAUUUUUAUUGCUUAAAAAUUUUUAUAUUAAAAAUGCUAGAAACGCUUUAUAAAAUCACUCCCAAACUGGUUCUUACUCGUCACAUUAUUUAUUUGGCUAGAGGCCAUAAGUACAUUAGUGUAAACUAACAAUAUCAUUAAUUAGGAUAUUUUUUAGUAACUAAAAUCCUUAAUCUAAUUUUUUAUGGAUUUUUUUAUGGUCUUAAGAGGGAAUUGAUUGGUCAGAGUUUCAUAAGUUUACUAUUAAUGUAAUUAGUAGCCAAUCACUAUCUUUAAGUAAGUUAAUAGAUAUAAAUUUUAUCUUUAAAUUAAUUAUUUAGAAGAAUCAAUUGAUAAUUUUGGAAGAUGAUUUAUUUAUUUAUUUAUUUAUUACAAAAGAUGCUUUAGAAAAAAAAAAUAUUUUUAUAGUGUUGUAAACUCUUAGAUAGUGUUGUCAUUCUAUUGAUUCAUAGAAGUCAAAGUCAAGAAACGUGAAAAACGAAAGAAGGGAAAUUUCUAUGCUUCCAUGAUUCAUAGAAAAGAAGGUCAAAAGGCAAAUGAUUGAAAAAUGAAAGAAGGAAAGUUUAUAUGAAUUUAUGAUUCAUAGAAAAGAAGGUCCCCACACGGUUUUAUUUAUGGUGCGUGAAUGUUUUAAUAAUAUUAUGAUUUUAAAUAAAAAAGAAAUAAAUUUAUUAAUAAGUUUGUUCACAUAUUUUUCAAAAUUUGUUUUUCUUCUCUUUUACCUUUCAAAAAAAAAAUGAAAAUUUUGAAAAGAUAGAAAUAUUUUAAUAAUUUGAAUUGUUAUUUUUUUGCAAUUUUAAAUUAAACUAAAUAAUUAAUAUUAAAUUUAUUUUUUUUAAUUUGAAUCUUUUUAAUAUUUUCUUUGAUCCGAAGGGUAAUUUCAUUUUCAAACUUUUUAGACAAAUGAUAUUACCAAAAAUCUUGUGAUAUUCUACUAUUAGUGAUACUAACUAAGACAAAAAUUAUUUUCUUUUACCACUUAAUUAUUACCAUAGGAUGGUAUUAAAUUUAAAAGGAACAAAUAAAAUAGAAAAAUAAAAUAAAAAACAUUUUAUUUUACAAUAAAGGUGAAGAAAUAAAAUAAAAUAAAAAAUAAAUAUAAUUUCAUUCUCAUUUCCUUGCUUUUUCAUCUACUAUUGGUGGUCAAAGUUAUAAAUAUUUGCAUAUAUUUUUACAAUUUUUAGAUAAUUGGAGAAAAAAAGAAUAUAAAAGUAAUUUAUCACCUUUAAAUUUAUUUUCUUUUUUUAAUUUUAUGUCAUUUCUUAUUUCCUUUUAUUUUUCUUAGUAUUUUCUUUACUACUUUUUAUAAACCAAACACAACCUAAAAAUUAUUUUUAAAAAAAAUUAUUAUUUUUAUUUAAGCCAAAAAAUAAAAAUAUUUUUUUUAUUUCUCUUUUAUGAUAAACAAAAUGGUUAGAAAACUGAGUGCUUUGGUUUGAGUUUCCUCUUUCAUUUAUUUGAUCAAUAAAACAUUAUUAUUCUACUUUAAACUUGCAAAUUCAGCCAUGACCAUACAGAGAAAUUCAAACUGUGCCCUCUCAUGCUCCUCUGUUCUAUUUUCUCCCAAGUUAUUAAUUUUCUCGUCUUUCUCUAAUACCGGAGACUUGACUUCUUGUGGGCCAGCUUAAGAAAUCAUUUUUCAUUGUUGACCCUAACUCAAUGGUUCAUGCUUUCUCAUGAACCUUUUUGUUUUACUUUAAUAUUAUAAAAAAAGGUGGGUGGCUUUCACACGAUUUUGUGAAAGAUGAUCAAAACAUGAUUAUUCUAACUUGGAAUCAUUUGCAUAUAAAUUGGAGUGCACUUGUCACCAUUUCUCUCAUCUCAUCACUCUUUCUCUCUAUUGCUUUGGGAAGAAUGAUGUCUAAACUUCUCCUUUGUUUUCUUUUCUUUCUCUCGUCCUCUCAGCUUCUUUCCUCCUCUUUCUCUUUCUCUAAUUCCACCAAACUAUGCCCGCAUCAGCAGGCUCUUGCUCUGCUCCACCUUAAGCAAUCCUUUUCUAUUGAUAAUUCCAGUUCUUGGGAUUGUGAUUCCAAUGGCAUCACUUCUUAUCCUAAAACAGAGUCUUGGAAGAAGGGUAGUGAUUGCUGCUCAUGGGAUGGGGUCACAUGUGAUUGGGUGACAGGCCAUAUAAUUGGGCUGGACCUCAGUUGCAGCAGGCUCUUUGGCACCAUCCAUUCCAACACAACCCUUUUCCUCCUUCUUCAUCUACAAAGGCUCAACCUGGCUUUCAACAACUUCAAUGGGUCCUCUAUUUCAGCUGGGUUUGGUCGGUUCUCAAGCUUGACGCAUUUCAAUCUCUCUUACUCUGGAUUUUCAGGCCUAAUUGCACCAGAAAUCUCUCACCUCUCCACCUUGGUUUCACUCGAUCUGUCUGAGAAUUAUGGAGCAGAGUUUGCCCCGCAUGGCUUCAAUUCUCUGGUUCAAAAUUUAACCAAAUUGCAGAAGCUUCACCUUAGAGGUAUUUCCAUCUCUUCAGUUUUUCCUAAUUCCUUGCUAAAUCGGUCUUCUUUGAUAUCAAUAGAUCUCUCUGGGUGUGGAUUGCAUGGGAGAUUCCCUGACCAUGACAUUCA
rnacentral:lncRNA from 1 species